AGCGGUGGAGCAUGUGGUUUAAUUCGAUGCUACGCGAAGAACCUUACCAGGUCUUGACAUCUUCUGCCAACCUAAGAGAUUAGGCGUUCCCUUCGGGGACAGAAUGACAGGUGGUGCAUGGUUGUCGUCAGCUCGUGUCGUGAGAUGUUGGGUUAAGUCCCGCAACGAGCGCAACCCUUAUUGUUAGUUGCCAGCAUUCAGUUGGGCACUCUAGCAAGACUGCCGGUGACAAACCGGAGGAAGGUGGGGAUGACGUCAAAUCAUCAUGCCCCUUAUGACCUGGGCUACACACGUGCUACAAUGGACGGUACAACGAGUCGCGAAACCGCGAGGUCAAGCUAAUCUCUUAAAGCCGUUCUCAGUUCGGAUUGUAGGCUGCAACUCGCCUACAUGAAGUUGGAAUCGCUAGUAAUCGUGGAUCAGCAUGCCACGGUGAAUACGUUCCCGGGCCUUGUACACACCGCCCGUCACACCAUGAGAGUUUGUAACACCCAAAGCCGGUGAGGUAACCUUCGGGGACCAGCCGUCUAAGGUGGGACAGAUGAUUAGGGUGAAGUCGUAACAAGGUAACC
rnacentral:rRNA from 1 species